AUAAUUAGGAUUAAUUUUUCUCGAAUUAAAAAGUUUUAAUUAAAUAUUAAUAUAAUUUUUUCAUAAAUUUUUAUAAUUUUUAAUUAGAAAUGAAAUGUUAUUCGUUUUUUAUUAUAUCUAGUUUUUUAAGAAAAAAAUUUAAUUUUAUUAUUAUUAAUUUAUUAAUUAAUUUUUAGUUAAUAAUUUUUAGUAUUUAAUAUAUAAAGGGUUGAGCUUUUAUAUAAAUUAUUAAAAAUUUAAUUUUUAUAAUUUUUGUAUAAUUUAAAUUGUUAAUCAUUUUAAUAAUUUAAUAAUUAGUUUUAUUUAAUUAUAAUAUUUAUAUAUUUUUUAAUUUUUUUAUUAAAAAAAAAAGUUUAAUUUAAUUUCUUUUUAUAUUAUGAUUAAAUUAGUAGAUUUUAUGUUUAUUAAAAAUUUAAAUAUAGGUAGUAAAGAGGAAUUCGGCAAAUAUAUUUUUCGCCUGUUUAUUAAAAACAUCUCUUUUUGAUAAUAAUUUAAAGUUUAAUCUGCUCAAUGAAAAUUAAAUUGCCGCAGUAUUUUGACUGUGCAAAGGUAGCAUAAUAAUUAGUUUUUUAAUUGGAAACUGGAAUGAAUGAUUGGACGAGAAAAUUUCUGUCUUUUUAUUAUUUUUAUUGAAUUUUACUUUUAAGUUAAAAGGCUUAAAUUUUUUUAAAAGACGAGAAGACCCUAUAGAGUUUAAUUUUUAAUUUAUUUAUUAUUAUUAGAAUUUAAUUUAAUAAUUAAUUUAAUAAUUUGGUUGGGGUGACUGUUUGAUAAAUUUAACUCUUUUAAUUUGAAAUCAAUUAUUUUUGAUUAUAAAAUCUAUAUUUUUAAUUUUAAAAUAAGUUACCUUAGGGAUAACAGCGUAAUUUUUCUUUAAAGUUCUUAUUAAA
rnacentral:rRNA from 1 species